rnacentral:misc_RNA from 1 species
GAUGAAGAACGCAGCGAAAUGCGAUAAGUAGUGUGAAUUGCAGAAUUCAGUGAAUCAUCGAAUCUUUGAACGCACCUUGCGCCCUUUGGCCAUUCCGAAGGGCAUGCCUGUUUGAGUAUCAUGAACACCUCAACUCUUCAUGGUUUUCCAUGAUGAGCUUGGACUUUGGGGGUCUUGCUGGCCUGUGGGUCGGCUCCUCUCAAAUGAAUCAGCUUGCCGGUUUUUGGUGGGCAUCACAGGUGUGAUAACUAUCUACGCUUGUGGUUUUCCACCAGGGUAACCUUCAGCAGUGGAGGUUCACUGGAGCUUACAAAUGUCUCUCCUCUGUGAGGACAGCCCUUUGAAUGUUUGAUCUCAAAUCAGGUAGGACUACCCGCUGAACUUAAGCAUAUCAAUAAGCGGAGGA